AUGCGGCACUGUAGACUAAGCGCUUCAGGCACUCUUCUGCUUGAUGAUCAUCCAGUUUCAUCUGGUCCUCUUGUCGAUCAACACCACAUAUGCUUCCAAAGGCAUGUAAAGCGGCCUGAAAGUUUCACAGCUUCACUCUUGAGAGGAAUAGUUUCUGGAGACUUUCAAGUGACUUACAGAGUUAGUAGUAGACGAACUUACCAGCUGUUUACCUCUGCCCUGCCUAUCAAAGGACAUUUCUACCACAUGUCUAGCAAUUUUUGGUGGAUCAGAGAGCAACAAGCAUGCUCCUUGAGUUGCUAUUUCACCAACGGAGCCAGACAAACAAAGAGUAGGUCAGAUAGUGAAAUGAAGUUUGUACCAAUUAGUCCUAAGGUCUCCAACGCGCUCUCAAUUUCAUCAGUAUUUUGA
rnacentral:rRNA from 1 species